GUGGUUAAGAGCAAACAGGUGGACCAACAUAUUUCAGAUCUUGAAGAAGUGUUCAACACCUUGCGAAAGUACGGAAUGAAGUUGAACCCCGCGAAAUGUGCAUUCGGCGUUGCCUCGGGAAAGUUCUUGGGCUUUAUGAUCACUCAUCGGGGGAUAGAGGCCAACCCUGACAAAAUACAAGCCUUGGCAUCUAUGGAAUCACCAAGGAACAAGAAAGAGGUACAGAGGUUGACUGGUAGGGUAGCAGCCUUGAACAGGUUCAUGUCCCGAGCAUCGGACAGGUGCUAUCCCUUCUUCAAAGUCCUCAGAGGAAACCAAGGCUUUGAUUGGAGUGAAGACUGUGAGAAAGCUUUCCAAGAGCUCAAACAAACAUUGGCAUCUCCCCCAAUUCUCACUAGGCCUGAGCCUGGUGACACCUUAUUUCUGUACUUAGCCGUAUCUCAAAACGCUGUCAGCGGGGUCUUGGUGAAAGAGGUUAACAAAGUCCAACAGCCUAUCUACUAUGUAAGCAAGGUCCUACUGGACGCGGAAACCAGGUAUACUUUGGCAGAACAACUUGCCCUUGCCUUGGUUAUAGCAGCAAGGAAACUCCGGCAAUAUUUUCAGUCUCACCCUAUUGUGGUGCUCACUAAUCAACCACUUAGGCAUAUACUUCAGAAGCCGGAAGUAAAGAGGAUCUUGGUUGACAACGGGAGUGCGGCCAAUAUACUUUCACAAGAAGCUUUUGCCAAAAUGGGAAUCUCAUCUCACCAGCUCAAAGCGGUUAAAACUCCUCUCCAGGGGUUUGGUGGAGGAGUCAUCACUCCAGAGGGUGUAGUUGAGCUUCCACUAACUUUGGGUUCUGGCCAGAAACAGGUUACGGAGAUGACAUCUUUUCAAGUGGUACGUGUCUCAAUGGCCUAUAACGCAAUUCUGGGAAGACCACUCCUGAACAAGAUUAAAGCCAUUGUGUCCACCUUCCACCUAGCCAUGAAGUUUCCAACAAAUAAUGGCGUUGGGGUUGUCCGUGGAGACCAGACAGCUGCCAGACAAUGCUAUGUGGCCAGUGUUCGGGAAAUAAAUAACGACGUCAUGCAAAUCUCGAGGAUUGAUCCCGAGGACGGGCAACAAGUCAGACUCGCUCCUGUCGAAGAAUUGAUGGAAAUUGAGCUCGAGCAUGAUAAGAAGGUAACGAUUGGUCGGGAUCUUGACGUCACCCUGAAGACAGAACUUGUUAGUUGCUUAUCUCGCAACAUUGACGUUUUUGCCUGGAAGGUUGAGGAUAUGUCAGGGAUAGAUCCUAAAAUUGCAGUCCAUAGGCUUAACAUUAGCCCAGGAGCCAGACCAGUAAAGCAGAGGAAAAGGCAGUUUGCCCCAGAACGACGGGAGGUCAUUCGCGAAGAGAUUAACAAACUCGUCAGCGCUCAAUUUAUUCGGGAGGUCCAAUAUCCCGAUUGGCUUGCCAAUGUUGUUUUAGUAAAGAAGGCCAAUGGUAAGUGGAGGGUCUGUAUUGACUUCACAGAUCUUAACAAAGCAUGUCCAAAGGAUAGUUAUCCCCUACCACGGAUUGACAACUUGGUGGAUAGCACGUCCGGACAUAAGUUGUACAGCUUCUUGGAUGCAUUUUCUGGUUAUCAUCAAAUCCUCAUGGUUGAAGAAGAUCAAGAAAAGACAUCAUUCAUGGCCGAUUCCGCCAUAUACUGUUAUAAGGUCAUGUCUUUCGGUUUGAAGAAUGCAGGGGCAACAUACCAAAGACUCAUCAACAAAGUCUUUGCUAACUUGAUUGGAAGGAAUGUGGAGGCGUACGUUGAUGACAUGGUGGUUAAGAGCAAACAGGUGGACCAACAUAUUUCAGAUCUUGAAGAAGUGUUCAACACCUUGCGAAAGUACGGAAUGAAGUUGAACCCCGCAAAAUGUGCAUUCGGCGUUGCCUCGGGAAAGUUCUUGGGCUUUAUGAUCACUCAUCGAGGGAUAGAGGCCAACCCUGACAAAAUACAAGCCUUGGCAUCUAUGGAAUCACCAAGGAACAAGAAAGAGGUACAGAGGUUGACUGGUAGGGUAGCAGCCUUGAACAGGUUCAUGUCCCGAGCAUCGGACAGGUGCUAUCCCUUCUUCAAAGUCCUCAGAGGAAACCAAGGCUUUGAUUGGAGUGAAGACUGUGAGAAAGCUUUCCAGGAGCUCAAACAAACAUUGGCAUCUCCCCCAAUUCUCACUAGGCCUGAGCCUGGUGACACCUUAUUUCUGUACUUAGCCGUAUCUCAAAACGCUGUCAGCGGGGUCUUGGUGAAAGAGGUUAACAAAGUCCAACAGCCUAUCUACUAUGUAAGCAAGGUCCUACUGGACGCGGAAACCAGGUAUACUUUGGCAGAACAACUUGCCCUUGCCUUGGUUAUAGCAGCAAGGAAACUCCGGCAAUAUUUUCAGUCUCACCCUAUUGUGGUGCUCACUAAUCAACCACUUAGGCAUAUACUUCAGAAGCCCGACGUAUCAGGAAGACUGAUGAAAUGGGCAAUCGAGCUUGGGGAAUUUGACAUAGAAUUCAAACCACGCCCAUCUAUCAAAGCCCAAGCUCUGGCUAACUUCAUUGCAGAACUAACCCCUAGGCCUCGGGGGCCAGGUGAGAGCUCGAGCAUGAGCACUAAUUUGGACACUUGGCAAAUAUUUGUGGAUGGAGCAUCGAACUCCUCGGGCUCGGGCGCAGGGGUCAUCAUCAUCAGCCCUGACAAACAAACAGAGAUCCAAUGCGCUCUCAGAUUCGAGUUUGAAGCAACCAACAACGAGGCCGAGUAUGAGGCCGUCGUUAUUGCUCUUGAACUAGCCCUUUGCCUAGAGCUCGAGUUCGUAAAGGUAUUCAGCGAUUCACAGCUAGUGGUCGGAC
rnacentral:lncRNA from 1 species